rnacentral:rRNA from 1 species
GAUGAACGCUGGCGGCGUGCCUAAUACAUGCAAGUCGAGCGAACGGACGAGAAGCUUGCUUCUCUGAUGUUAGCGGCGGACGGGUGAGUAACACGUGGAUAACCUACCUAUAAGACUGGGAUAACUUCGGGAAACCGGAGCUAAUACCGGAUAAUAUUUUGAACCGCAUUGUUCAAAAGUGAAAGACGGUCUUGCUGUCACUUAUAGAUGGAUCCGCGCUGCAUUAGCUAGUUGGUAAGGUAACGGCUUACCAAGGCAACGAUGCGUAGCCGACCUGAGAGGGUGAUAGGCCACACUGGAAGUGGGCCACGGUCCAGACUACUAAGGGAGGCAGCAGUAGGGAAUCUUCCGCAAUGGGCGAAAGCAUGACGGAGCAACGCCGCGUGAGUGAUGAAGGUCUUCGGAUCGUAAAAAUCUGUUAUUAGGGAAGAACAGAUGUGGAAGUAACUGUGCAGAUAGUGACGGUACCUAGUCAGAAAGCAACGGCUAACUACGUG